rnacentral:tRNA from 1 species
CUGGAACACCUCCUUUCUGGAGAGGACGAAAGAUCGAGAAGGUUUUUGUUCUUGUACUGCUGGUGUUGUUUAUUCAAGAUAUGACUCCGUAAUGAUACGGAAGAGAGAAAGUAAGAAGCCGGGUCUAAUUAAACAGACUAGGUUGAACUUAGUCCUAUAGCUCAGUUGGUUAGAGCGCUACACUGAUAAUGUAGAGGUCGGCAGUUCAACUCUGCCUGGGACUACGAACGGAAUCAAGUUCGGGGGAUUAGCUCAGCUGGCUAGAGCAUCUGCCUUGCACGCAGAGGGUCAACGGUUCGAAUCCGUUAUCCUCCACACGCAUAGUCCCGCUAAAGAGCGGGGCCUCUCGGUACAAAUGAGUACCGAUAAGUUCUUUGACAUUUUGGGAAGACACAUGUAAAUAAUUGCCCCACCGCUUGCGGUGGGAUGGAAGUAGAAAAGGGCGCACGGUGAAUGCCU